rnacentral:rRNA from 1 species
AUGACCUCGGAUCAGGUAGGGAUACCCGCUGAACUUAAGCAUAUCAAUAAGCGGAGGAAAAGAAACCAACAGGGAUUACCUCAGUAACGGCGAGUGAAGCGGUAACAGCUCAAAUUUGAAAUCUGGCUCCUUUGGGGUCCGAGUUGUAAUUUGUAGAAGAUGCUUUGGGUGUGGGCCUGGCCUAAGUUCCUUGGAACAGGACGUCGUAGAGGGUGAGAAUCCCGUAUGCGGCUGGUGCCCGCGCCCAUGUAAAGCUCUUUCGACGAGUCGAGUUGUUUGGGAAUGCAGCUCUAAAUGGGUGGUAAAUUUCAUCUAAAGCUAAAUAUUGGCCAGAGACCGAUAGCGCACAAGUAGAGUGAUCGAAAGAUGAAAAGCACUUUGGAAAGAGAGUUAAACAGUACGUGAAAUUGUUGAAAGGGAAGCGCUGGCAACCAGACUUGGGCGCUGUUGAUCCGUUAGGGUUCUCCCUGGGGUACUCAGCAGUGCGCAGGCCAGCAUCGGUUUGGGGGGUUGGAGAAAGGCCGGUGGAAUGUGGCUGCCUUCGGGCAGUGUUAUAGCCACCGGUGGCAUGCAGCCUCCCCGGACCGAGGACCGCGCUUCGGCUAGGAUGCUGGCGUAAUGGUUGUCAGCGACCCGUCUUGAAACACGGACCAAGGAGUCUAACAUCUAUGCGAGUGUUUGGGUGUCAAACCCAUACGCGGAAUGAAAGUGAACGUAGGUGAGAACCCGCAAGGGUGCAUCAUCGACCGAUCCUGAUGUCUU